rnacentral:misc_RNA from 1 species
GAUGAAGAACGUAGCGAAAUGCGAUAAGUAAUGUGAAUUGCAGAAUUCAGUGAAUCAUCGAAUCUUUGAACGCACAUUGCGCCCUCUGGUAUUCCGGGGGACAUGCCUGUUCGAGCGUCAUUAUAACCACUCAAGCUCUCGCUUGGUAUUGGGGUUCGCGGUUCCGCGGCCCCUAAAAUCAGUGGCGGUGCCUGUCGGCUCUACGCGUAGUAAUACUCCUCGCGAUUGAGUCCGGUAGGUUUACUUGCCAGCAACCCCCAAUUUUUACAGGUUGACCUCGGAUCAGGUAGGGAUACCCGCUGAACUUAAGCAUAUCAAUAACGGAGGA